GAUGAACGCUAGCGGCAGGCCUAAUACAUGCAAGUCGAACGGUGUCUUCGGACAUAGUGGCGCACGGGUGCGUAACACGUAUGCAACCUACCCUACAUUGGGGGAUAGCCUUUCGAAAGGGAGAUUAAUACCGCAUAAGACAGUAGCUGGGCAUCCAGCAGCUGUUAAAGAUUUAUCGAUGUAAGCUGGGCAUGCGUCCAAUUAGCUAAUUGGUGAGGUAACGGCUCACCAAGGCAAUGAUUGGUAGGGGAACUGAGAGGUCAAUCCCCCACACUGGCACUGAGAUACGGGCCAGACUCCUAUGGGAGGCAGCAGUAGGGAAUAUUGGGCAAUGGACGCAAGUCUGACCCAGCCAUGCCGCGUGCAGGAUGAAGGCGUUAUGCGUUGUAAACUGCUUUUAUACAGGAAGAAACGACUCUUGCGAGAGGCAUUGACGGUACUGUAUGAAUAAGCACCGGCUAACUCCGUGCCAGCAGCCGCGGUAACAC
rnacentral:rRNA from 1 species